AUGGCGAAGCAGAAGCAGCAGCAGCAGCCCAAGCCCGCCGCCGACGCCGCGCCGCCGCCCCGGGAGUUCAAGACGGCGCACUCGCCCUGGUUCACCUACGCCUCCAUGGUCACGCUCUUCUCCCUCUGUCCGCCAUUCGUCAUCCUCCUGUGGUACACGGUUGUGCACGCGGACGGAUCGGUGGCGCGCACCUACGAGCACCUCCGCGACCACGGGAUCCUGGAGGGGCUCAAGGCCAUCUGGCCCAUGCCCACCGUGCUCGCCGGGAAGAUCAUCCUCGGCUUCGCUCUCUUCGAGGCCGCCCUGCAGCUGCUCCUUCCCGGGAAGCGCUUCGAGGGGCCCAUCUCGCCCGCCGGGAAUGUGCCCGUCUACAAGGCAAAUGGCUUACUAGCAUAUGCAGUGACUUUGGUCACCUACCUAAGCCUGUGGUGGUUUGGAAUAUUUAACCCUGCAAUAGUAUAUGAUCACCUGGGAGAGAUAUACUCGGCUCUGGUCUUUGGAAGCCUUGUGUUCUGUUUAUGCCUGUACAUAAAGGGUCAUGUAGCACCAUCUUCAUCUGAUUCUGGAUCCUCAGGGAAUGCGUUCAUUGAUUUCUACUGGGGAAUGGAACUGUAUCCUCGGAUUGGUAAGCAUUUCGAUAUCAAAGUCUUCACAAACUGCCGUUUUGGGAUGAUGUCCUGGGCUGUUCUUGCUGUCACCUACUGCAUAAAGCAGUAUGAAAUGAAUGGCCGAGUUGCAGACUCCAUGCUUGUGAAUACUGCACUGAUGUUGAUCUAUAUCACAAAGUUUUUCUGGUGGGAGUCUGGAUAUUGGUGUACUAUGGACAUUGCGCAUGAUAGAGCUGGUUUCUACAUUUGCUGGGGAUGCUUAGUAUGGGUUCCAUCAACUUACACCUCUCCUGGAAUGUACCUUGUCAAUCAUCCUGUGAAUUUGGGUCCCCAGCUAGCAAUCUCGAUUCUCCUCGCUGGAAUAUUGUGCAUAUACAUAAACUAUGACUGUGAUCGUCAGCGCCAAGAAUUUCGCCGGACAAAUGGGAAAGCCUCAGUCUGGGGAAAAGCCCCGUCAAAGAUUGUUGCUAACUAUCAGACCACAAAAGGAGAAACGAAAACCAGUCUUCUCUUGACUUCUGGAUGGUGGGGCUUUUCUCGUCACUUUCACUAUGUCCCAGAGAUACUGGCAGCAUUUUUCUGGAGCGUUCCAGCUCUUUUUGAUCAUUUUCUGCCAUACUUCUAUGUGCUACAUCUAACCAUUCUACUGCUUGACCGAGCAAAGAGGGAUGAUGACAGAUGCUCAACAAAGUACGGCAAGUACUGGAAGAUGUACUGCAACAGAGUACCGUACAGGGUUGUUCCUGGUAUUUACUGA
rnacentral:rRNA from 1 species